rnacentral:rRNA from 1 species
AGGACGAACGCUGGCGGCGUGCCUAACACAUGCAAGUCGAGCGAGGAGAUUCCUUCGGGAUGAUCCUAGCGGCGGACGGGUGAGUAACACGUGGGCAACCUGCCUCAUAGAGAGGAAUAGCCUUCCGAAAGGGAGAUUAAUACCUCAUAACAUUGCAGUUUCGCAUGAAACAGCAAUUAAAGGAGCAAUCCGCUAUGAGAUGGGCCCGCGGCGCAUUAGCUAGUUGGUGAGGUAACGGCUCACCAAGGCGACGAUGCGUAGCCGACCUGAGAGGGUGAUCGGCCACAUUGGGACUGAGACACGGCCCAGACUCCUACGGGAGGCAGCAGUGGGGAAUAUUGCACAAUGGGGGAAACCCUGAUGCAGCCAACGCCGCGUGAGUGAUGACGGCCUUCGGGUUGUAAAGCUCUGUCUUCAGGGACGAUAAUGACGGUACCUGAGGAGGAAGCCACGGCUAACUACGUGCCAGCAGCAGC